rfam:Nitrospirae bacterium RIFCSPLOWO2_12_FTLL_63_8 rifcsplowo2_12_scaffold_88538, whole genome shotgun sequence.
GGGGCUGUGGCGCAGUUGGGAGCGCGCCUGCAUGGCAUGCAGGAGGUCGCCGGUUCAAUCCCGGCCAGCUCCA